CCUACGCGAGGCAGCAGUGGGGAAUAUUGCACAAUGGGGGAAACCCUGAUGCAGCAACGCCGCGUGAGUGAAGAAGUAUUUCGGUAUGUUAAGCUCUAUCAGCAGGGAAGAAGAUGACGGUCCCUGAAUAAGAAGCCCCGGCUAACUACGUGCCAGGAGCCGCGCUAAUACGUAGGGGGCAAGCGUUAUCCGGAUUUACUGGGUGUAAAGGGAGCGCAGACGGCAGUGCAAGUCUGGAGUGAAAGCCCGGGGCCCAACCCCGGAACUGCUCUGGAAACUGUGCGGCUAGAGUACUGGAGGGGCAGGCGGAAUUCCUGGUGUAGCGGUGAAAUGCGUAGAUAUUAGGAAGAACACCAGUGGCGAAGGCGGCCUGCUGGACAGUAACUGACGUUGAGGCUCGAAAGCGUGGGGAGCGAACAGGAUUAGAUACCCUUGUAGUC
rnacentral:rRNA from 1 species